CACCGCCCCGCCGCGCGGGAGGGGCCUACGCCCUGGCACGUCGCGGUUCCUGGUGGUACGCGCGGAGGUGGUGUGGCGGUGCGUGCCCUCUGAGCGGCUGGGGGGAUCCUGCCACGGAUCCUGCUGGGCGCGCGGGGGAUCGUUUGUGGACAGGCGGCGGGAGGCGGCGGAAGGUGUCGGCGAGAAGGGUGAGGGAGGCGUCGGUCCUUGGUGCCCGGGCUCCACCGCAGCCGUGAGGCGCCGCGGCGCGCUCCUUUCUGCAGGCGCGGUUGGGCCCGAGCAGAGCUACCGCGGCAGAGGAGCGGCGUGAGCAGCAGGGUGGGCGCCGCGGCGGGGUGGGGGCCGCUAGCCGCCGCCGGCGGCGGAGCCAAGGCCGCGGUGAGAGAAGGGAAGAUGGCGGCCGGCACGUGUCGGGGUGCGUAGGGGUGAUCCAUGACUCCAUGGAGGCUGCCGCCCGUGGCUGUCUCCCUUCCUAGGCAUGGAAGAGCAGUUCCUUACUAAUUGGCAAAACUUCUACCCGCUUGUGGGUUUUAGUCGUUGACUGUAGCAAGGAACAACCCGAAUCGGCCGAGGCGUGGGGCGCCGUGGGGUUGGCCCUUCAGUGUUUUUUGUUUUAUUUGUUUUCGGGAGUUUUUUGUGGGUUGAUUGAUUUUGUUUGGGGUUUUUUGGGGUUGGUUUUCUUGUGUGUGUGUGUUUGUGGUUUUUCCUCCCUUCUCAAUAAGUAGAGCGCAGUUUUCAAACGUGUUCUGUCUUGUUUUUUUGUUGGUUUUUUUUUUUCCCUCCUUUCUCUUCCUCACGGGGGCAGAAGCUGAAGCACGGAGAUGCAUCUGUUGCCAUUGAAGAUCCUUCCCCAAAAAGCUGUGUGACUGGGGGAAAAACACUCUUGAGUUGCCAUGGCAGAAGAAGAUGGGGCUAAAUUCCAGACGUGAAUUGUAUGAGUAACUCAUUAGAACUUUCUAAUUUUUACCUAGGGUAGGGUGGAUCUGUGUAGUCUUCUGCAGUUGAUACCUUUCACAAGCAAUAGUAUUUCUGGUUAUCGAGCAGAGCUAGCAAAAGCUAAUUUUAGUCUAGAUCUUAAUCUCACUUUAGAAUUAACAGAAAUGAACUUUAUUUAAAAAGUUCAGCUUAAAUGAGAGAUUCUGCAGCCCACCUCUCCUCAUUACAAAGAAGUGCUGGAAUGUAGCUUGCUGUGCCUAAAAUUAGCCUUGAUUGCUUCUGUACAAAUGCGGCUGGGAUGACUAGCUUGUUUUCUGCUGCUUUCGGGGAUCUUCCACUGCUCCUGUCUUUGGGCUGUUGCAAAGUCUUAAGCAAUUCUAAUAACGUUCUUGGUAGUUAUAUGGCUGUGCUGCACUCUGUUAGGUGGCUGAUGUUACCACAGUACUGUUAGAUCCGAUGAUGUGCGCAUUUAGUGGUGGUGCUUCUGCUGUUUAGGUGUGUUAGAAGGGUGGCUGCAAGGAGUACACGUGUACUGCAUAAGCUGAAGGUAAGUUUGUGAAGUCUAGAGAAUGAAUGUGAUAUCUACAGUAAAUCAUUCAAAUGUAUGAAUAAGUCAAUAAAGAGACAUCAACUUUGA